rnacentral:rRNA from 1 species
ACGCACGCUGGCGGCGUGCCUAAUACAUGCCAGUUGAGCGCUGAAGGUUGGUACUUGUACCAACUGGAUGAGCAGCGAACGGGUGAGUAACGCGUGGGGAAUCUGCCUUUGAGCGGGGGACAACAUUUGGAAACGAAUGCUAAUACCGCAUAAAAACUUUAAACACAAGUUUUAAGUUUGAAAGAUGCAAUUGCAUCACUCAAAGAUGAUCCCGCGUUGUAUUAGCUAGUUGGUGAGGUAAAGGCUCACCAAGGCGAUGAUACAUAGCCGACCUGAGAGGGUGAUCGGCCACAUUGGGACUGAGACACGGCCCAAACUCCUACGGGAGGCAGCAGUAGGGAAUCUUCGGCAAUGGACGAAAGUCUGACCGAGCAACGCCGCGUGAGUGAAGAAGGUUUUCGGAUCGUAAAACUCUGUUGGUAGAGAAGAACGUUGGUGAGAGUGGAAAGCUCAUCAAGUGACGGUAACUACCCAGAAAGGGACGGCUAACUACGUG